rnacentral:rRNA from 1 species
UACAGAGGUCUCAAGCGUUGUUCGGAUUCAUUGGGCGUAAAGGGUGCGUAGGCGGCGCUGUAAGUCGGGUGUGAAAUCUCGGAGCUUAACUCCGAAACUGCAUUCGAUACUGCCGUGCUUGAGGACUGGAGAGGAGACUGGAAUUCACGGUGUAGCGGUGAAAUGCGUAGAUAUCGUAAGGAAGACCAGUGGCGAAGGCGGGUCUCUGGACAGUUCCUGACGCUGAGGCACGAAAGCCAGGGGAGCAAACGGG